GGACCGUGACGAUUCAAUUGAUAAGGUCUCGUUCGUCGUAAUUGGCCGCAAGGCCUUGCCGACCAUUCUGUUAUAUCACCACCCAUUAUCUGAGUCC